rnacentral:rRNA from 1 species
CCUACGGGUGGCAGCAGUGAGGAAUAUUGGUCAAUGGGCGCAAGCCUGAACCAGCCAUGCCGCGUGCAGGAAGACGGCCCUAUGGGUUGUAAACUUCUUUUGUACGAGGGUAAACGGAGAUACGUGUAUCUGUCUGAAAGUAUCUUACGAAUAAGGAUCGGCUAACUCCGUGCCAGCAGCCGCGGUAAUACGGAGGAUUCAAGCGUUAUCCGGAUUUAUUGGGUUUAAAGGGUGCGUAGGCGGUCGGAUAAGGUCGGGGUGAAAGUCUGAGGCUCAACCGUGGAAUUGCCUUUGAUACUGGCCGGCUUGAGUGUAGUUGCGGUAGGCGGAAUGUGUGGUGUAGCGGUGAAAUGCUUAGAGAUCACACAGAACACCGAUUGCGAAGGCAGCUUACCAACCUACUACUGACGUUGAGGCACGAAAGCGUGGGGAUCAAACAGGAUUAGAUACCCCAGUAGUC